UACGUAGGGUGCAAGCGUUUGUCCGGAAUUAUUGGGCGUAAAGAGCGUGUAGGCGGCCCGAUUAGUCCGCUGUGAAAGUCCAGGGCUCAACCCUGGAAUGCCGGUGGAUACUGUCGGGCUAGAGUCCGGAAGGGGCGACUGGAAUUCAUGGUGUAGCAGUGAAAUGCGUAGAGAUCAUGAGGAAGACCAGUGGCGAAGGCGGGUCUCUGGACAGUUCCUGACACUGAGACACGAAGGCCAGGGGAGCAAACGGG
rnacentral:rRNA from 1 species